GGGGAGGAUCUUCAUUUUGCAAAGCAUUUGAAGCAGUAAGAGAAAGUGAAACUUCAGGCAAAGCUAAAGAAAGAUUAAGAGUUUCAAGCUUGGGUUUCUUUCCCCGAUUCUCCCUUUCAAUCUCAUCCUCAACCUCCCGUUUCGAUUGAUUUCCUCUAUUGGAGUUCAAAUUAAGGAAAUCCCUCUCGACCCAUUUAUCAUCC
rnacentral:misc_RNA from 1 species